rnacentral:lncRNA from 12 species
AGCCACCUUUAAGCCCUUGGAGUUCUGUUUACUUUAAUGGAAAUCACUUUUCCAAGGCUCCUUGCUGGUUCUGAAAAAUCAGGUUAAAGGUCAUCCUGUGACUCCAAGAAUAAUAAAUUUGCAAUUUGUACUUUUCUGACCUCUAGAAAUAUUUUUAGGUUUUUGAGGCCAAAGAAAACAAAGCAGUGCUUUGAAAGGACUGGGGAGCUAUCAAUUGAUCAAUUUAAGUGGGAUUAGCUGAUAAUUGGGUAAAUACAUUGUUAUUGAUGUCCAGAAGGAAGAAGAUGUGCCAAGAAAACACUAAUGCCUAGGCCUAGAUUUAUCUGCUAAUCCUUGAAGGAGGCAGUUUACUGAGGACAUGAGUAAUUGCUCUGUUAACAGAUUUAUUCUUCCUUUAAGCCCCAUAUUUGGGGCUUAAAUCCUCCCCUCUUUCCAGCCAUUCAAAAUGUGACCUGAGUCCCACUGCCCAAUGUUACACUUUGCAGCUCUUCCUAGUCAUGUUCAUACUCCGAUUUCUUUGAUUUGACAUGCAGUACCCUAGCAAAAGACUGGCGCUCCAGCCACAAGUGCUUUAUGAUCUGUUAAAACCUCCAGCUGCUGUUUAGGCUGGCUAUCUAAGCCUCAUUACAGGGCUGGCUGACUGCCUGAAAGACUAGUCCUAUCUCAGGUGUUAUCCUAUAAUGCUACUACUUAACUGUGUGCUACAAGGACAUGAGCUGCAUCCUUCAUGCCACCUGAGAAGUCAUCUUUCACUAAUUCAACAGAACACAACAGAAUCUAUAGGAUAUCAACCAUCUUGGUUGAGAGAGGAAGAACAUAAUCAAUUAUGUUCCUCCAUUCUAUCUCUACUUUCUGCCACAGAGAUGAUAAAUUUCAAUCAUCCUGAGUCCUUGAGUGGCUACAUGGAUCAGGCCACCACUGAACACAUAGGGCGAGUACAUGUCAAACCAUCAUGGACAUAUAGAGUAAGUAAGAAACAAAUCUUUGUUACAUUAAGCCACUGAGAUUUUGCAUUGCAUUUGAUAUAGUUUAUCACAACAUUAGUAGUUACUACCUGUGAUAAUAUGUAUCCCACAAAAUAUGCUUGGUAAAAAAUAAAUCUCAAUAUAAAAAGUACA